UCGAGUCCUGGUGAAAGAUAUUAAACUAUUAGGGAGUGUCAAAGGAGAGUCACAGGAUGGUGAAGGGCCUUGAGGGCCCAUAUGAGGAGCAGCUGAGAGCACUUGGUCUGUUCUGCCUGAGCAAGAGGAGGCUGAGGGGAGACCUCUUCAGUUACAACUUCCUUGUGAGGGGAAGAGGAGGGACAGGCACUGGUCUCUGUUGACCAGUGGUGGGACUAAGGGAAUAGCCUGAAAUUGUGUUAGGGGAGGUUUAGUUUGGAUAUCAGGAAAGGGUUCUUCACCCAGAGGGUGGUUGGGCACUGGAAGAGGCUCCCCAGGAAAGUGGCCACAGUAUCAAACCUGACAGAGUUCAACAGGUAUUUUGGACAGCACUUUCAGGUACAUGGCAGCAUCCUUGUCCUGUGCAGGACGAAGAGUGGGACUCAAUGAUCUUUGUAAGUCUCUUCCAACUCAACAUAUUCUGUGACUUUGUAAUCUAGAGUUCCAGACAUGCAUCAUCCAGGAAACUAUUUAAGUUUUCAAAAUAUUUUUACUCUCUGGUAGGUGUUGGUCCUCUAGCAAACACAUUGUUCUUGUUUUGGCUGGGAUAGGGUUAAUUUUCUUCAUAUUGACUGGUAUGGGUCUAUGUUUUCCAUUUGUGCUGGAACAGUGUUGAUAACACAGGGAUAUUUUCAUUAUCACUGAGCAGUGCUUGCACAGCACAGAGUCAUUUUCUGCCUCUCAUACCACCCCAGCAGCAAGGAUUUGUGACAGCUGACCCCAGCUGACCGGAGGGAUAUUCCACAUCCUAAGGUAUCGUGCUCAGCAUAUAAAGAUGAGGGAAGAAGAAGGAACUGGUUUACUCAUGAUGGAGCCCUGCUGUCCUGAACAUGGCUGAACACCUACCAGUCCAUGGGAAGUGGUGAAGGAAUUCCUUGUUUUGUUUUGCAUUUUUUUUUAAUCAAAACUGACAAAUGUUUGAAUAUUUUGGGCAGUUUUCCACUCGGUCAGCAAACAGUUUAAUAUGCCUAACACCCCCAAGAAAUCAGAUUGUGUGGAGCAGCUCUCAAUCAAACCCUAAGUAGUCACAGUGAUGGAAUUCACAGCAAGCUCAAAACCAUCCUCUCCACACCCCUGUGAAAGAGGCUGGAGAGGAAAAUAACUGCUGGGUGCUCACCUCAUACAAAGCUGUUGAGGUUUCCAGUUGCUUUACAGCUGACUCCAUCUGAAGAGACUUUAAGUUUGACGCCUUAAAGAUGCUGAUUUUAAGCACAACUUUGUGUUUGGCCCAUACAAGAGGUUGUUCCCACUGCACCAAGUCCACAAUUUAAAAAGGCAACUUUUACAAGCCAUGCCUCUCUGUGGUUUUCUAGUCACCCUUUAGCCAUCCUCCUCCUGUGGUGGCAUUUUCCUGGCUCUGAAAAACAACAUUAUGUUCCAAUAUAUUUCCUGCCUGAGAAAAUGCCACCCCACUUGCCAGUUUUGCUGCCCUCCAGCUGGCCAUGUUUCUCCACACCUGUCACUGUCUACUGUUGUGUGGGAACGGCCGGAUUUGAAGGGGAGGGAGAACCAUUUGGCAUUAGCUUCCACUCCAACUUCCCAUUUUCCCGAUGAAAGCUCUCAAGUCUGUGAGAGCAGCCUUUUGCUCUUCUCUAAUGUGCAGCAUGUAAAGGACCACAAGACUCAGAAGACAGGUGGAAAAAAGCCUUGGCAAUGGGAUUUCAUUAAGCAUAUGCCCAAACCAAAAGUGAUGAGAGUUGGUGCACCUUUUUCUGGACUUUUGUGAGAUGGACCCUUGGCCUGGUGAGAGUCUGGACCUGCUGAAAUUCAUUGGACGUGGAAUUUUACACUCAUGGAAAUCAACACAGCCAAGGUGUCUUACUGGAAAAACCUGCCUGUGAUGCACCUACUGUUAUUAGCUAUUUCUGACAAACAUUUAUUUUAUUAUAUGUUUUUAUUACAUGUUUGCACAAUGAGAACAUGAAUUACAUAAAAAUGGGCAAACCUGAAAUACAAAUUAACCUUCAAUAUUGUAUCAACCAUCACUAAAACAUGAAAAUUUAACGUAGUCUAUUGGCAAAAUUAAAUUUUAGUUGUAGUGUGUUCGUCGUGACUUAAAAUUUCCUCUGCAUGCACCACACCUGGUUUGAAUGUAUUUCUAAUCCUGUCUCUAAAAUGUUGGGAGAUAGUCUCCAGAACCAGCUAAAUUGUACAUAUUUAAAUAAUAAUUUUAAAUAGUAAAUUGUCUGAUCUAUAGAAAGGACAAUCUACAAUAAGGACAAGAUCAGUAUCAGCCCACCCUCCUUCACUGAAAAUGGAAAACUACUUGGAUGCAUCAGCUCUGGGGUCACAUAUUUGGAAAUUUGUACAAGCCACUAAGUAAAUCAAAGCAAGUUAUUUCUGGAAACAUCCCUUUGUGGAGCAAAGGAGGAAAUUACCUCUCUGUUUCUACCUCUGUAUUUCCCAUCCUGAUCUUCUGGCAGAGCAGAGAGAGAGGCACCUUUAGCAAGAAGGGGAAGAAGCUUCCUACAUUCCCAGCAUACCAGUGGGGUACAUGCAGAUGACAUCUAAGGAGGGGGAGAUGUCCAGAACCUGCUCCACGCUUCUCUUCCUCAAAAGUUAUGGCAUUUAUUUGUGAAUGGAUUCAAGGAAGUAUUUUGAGAUAUCCCUGAUGAUAAGAACAUUUGGGGCACCAGCACUGUAGACCAUGCCCAGGGUCAUGAGUUUUCUUCAUGAGCGGUAAAACCUCACCACAGAAUCAGAGACUCACAGAACAUACUGAAUUGAAAGGGAUCCACAAGGAUCUUUAAAUCCAGCUCUUGGCCCUGCACAGAACAGCCCCAAGAAUCACACCAUAUCUGGAACUUGUGAGAGUAUUUUUUUAAAAAGAGAGCAUUUUCCUUGUGCUUAUUA